GCAGGGAUGGAUGGAGUCACCCCACAGCCCCUGGCAGCAGAGAACUUGGGGUGAUGCUGCAGCCAGGUCCCGCAGGCAGGGGGGUUGUCUCCCCGGGAUGCUCCAGCCCGUGUCCCGGCUGUGACCAGCGGGAUGCGGCCGAGGCCGCGCAGUGUGAGGGUGACGGGCGCUCAUUCCACGGAUGAGCUGUCAUCCCUUUCUCUGUGCUCCAGGGAAUGGCUGAAUCCUGCUCAGUACCUCUCACCUCCAGCGCCUGCUGUCAGCUCUGGAAUCUCCUCCUGAUUUAUUCCACCCUGGAGAAACACCUGACCAAGGAAAGAAAUGAUACAGCUGCAGAGGGAGCUGACUUUUUUUUCCACUCUACUUGUACAAAGCUGCCAUGGAUAAUUGUACCAUUGGUCACAGAUAAAAUGAAGCCCAAAUAAUGGAAACCUGAUAGAUUUCUCAUUUUUGCUGACCUGCAGACCAAUUUCUUCCCAAGCUACAAUGCUCUACCUGAAUUAAAAUCCUCUUCACAGGAAGGUACAAGAAGGUGGAAGCCUGUUGGCUUUGUUUAAAGAGAAAAGGGUGAUCAGUGAUGCUCAGAAAAUGAGAGAGAGGGAGUCUGAGAAAAGCAAAAUCCUGUGCACGGUAAAUUAGAUUAAGGGGGAAAGAGACAGAAAUUUAAUAUAGAGAACAGAAGCUGCAGCAGAUAAACAAACAAGCAGCAUAAACUUUUAAAACUACUGAGAAAUAAACAUUUAAUUAAAAAUUGAAUUACCAAACAAGUGGGAAAUGUUCCCAGAAGCAAAGAUAGCAAAGUCUCACCAACUUAUUCCUAGUUAGGGAGACCUGGAGGUCAGGUUUAAUUACAGCUCAACCCACACUCCUCAGCAGCAUCUCUUUUACAAAACAAAAUCUGAUUCUCAGCCAGAUCUGGUGCCUUUGGCUGGAGGACAGAUCUCCAGUUCUUCCAGCACCGGGCACCAAAACCCCUGGGGACAGGCAGGAAUGCUGCCAAUUUCAGAGUGGGCAUGAAGAGAGAAAAGCCAAUUUCUGAGCCAUUUUUGGCCUGGAAUCCUUGCCCACAGAUUCAGGACACGGCCAGGAGCUCAAAUCCAUGAAUGUUCCAGUCAUUGCCUUCAUACCCAGCCACGACCCCCUCAGAAAGGUAAAAAUCCCUCAGCCCAAACUGUCCUUGGCCACUUACCCCAACAGUGGGCUUGGAUGCAGCUCCAUGCCCUUCUUUCAGAAAAUGUUAAAAUCCUGAAGAAAACACCUUAAAAAUGGGGAAAGAAAAUUAAAAGAGGAAUCCCAGGAAGUUGCCAGCUCCAAAAUCACUUUGUACUAACUCCACAGCAAUUAGGAGCCGAUUUUGCUGUUUUUCAUCUCAUUUCCCUGUGUCCUGUUAUGCGUUUGGCUCCUUUGUGUCCAUUCUCCAUGUGUUGGUUCUGCUCUGGCAAUGAAAACAUUAUUUAAUCACAACAGGAACAACCAGUUCAUCCCACCUUUGUGUUGUGGCUCAGCAUGAGGGGCAGAAGCCUCUCCAAGGACACAAACAAUCCCAAGGAAGAGCACUAACAGGCUAAUUCAUAUAAAAACUUUAUUAGAAACGAGGACACAGCCUCCCAGGAGCAACAUCCUGCCUUAUCUCCCAAACUUUUACGAUUCCAGAGCCAUAAUUAAAUACAAGAGCUAUAAAAAGAGUAUGCACAGCUAUUAAAGGAGGAAAAAUCAAUCCACAAAUCACCAUUGUUUCAAACAUGGCUGGAGAAAGGGUUUUUCCACAGUGGUUUCCAUGCAGGGACCCACGAGGAUGCAAGCUGGCAUGUGGCCCGUGGGAUUUGUUUUCCAUCCUAAGGACCAGGAUGGGCUUUGAUCUUAUCCUGAGUCUGUACUGCUUCAAUUCAGAGAAAAAAGCAGAAUGUGAUGGCUUGAUAUUGCAUCUGAUACAUGAGGCUGAGUAAAUAGUUGUACUCCCAAAAUCACCCAAAUAAGGGGUAUUAUCCUAUCCCUAAUUCUAUUUCAAUGGUAAAUAAAAAUAAAAAUAAUAAUACAAAUAAAAAUUAAAACCAGAGGUGCUACUGACACAGAAAAAAUGACCAGCCUCAUUUAAGUACCAUCUAAAAUGAAAAAAAACAAAGGAUAAAUGGGGCCUGGUUUACCUUUUUUUUUCUACUUAUGCCAAAACCCACCCGGGACUGGCUUAAUGCACUAAAAAUUAGCAUUGUUAACUGCCACGUUAUGAUCUCAAUUCAACCAAUGUUUAGUACAAAACCCAAAAAA
ensembl:lncRNA